rnacentral:lncRNA from 1 species
CAACUGGACUCAGUUUAGAUGAUCCCAAUUUUGUUGGCAAUAUCCAAAGCAUCAUAGUCAGGAGCCAGUUGAACAUAUGCUUUCUUUUCUCCAUCAGGCCUGAUCAGAGUGUAGACCUUGGCCAUGUCAAUGUCAUAGAGCUUCUUCACAGCCUGUUUGAUCUGGUGCUUGUUGGCCUUGACAUC